GUUUUGGGCUGAUAAAGCUAAUCUCUGGCAGGAUAUGCACUAUGAACCUGUUGAAUCACUAUAUCAUAUGAAGCAUUUUGUAGCAAGAAGGGAGUCUCCGUGGAAGGUAGAUGGUGAAUCAACAGGAAUUUCCUCUAAAUUAAAAUUACUUGAACAGGAACUUCAGAAUUUGGAAAAAGUUGACAAAAAUGAUCUGUCAAAGGUUCCAUCACUGAUGAGAAAGCAGGCAAAAAGAUAUCAAGCUCUUGCAGGAAAGAUUGAUGAUCUAUGCAGAAGACUGCAAGCUAGUGAUCCCUGUGAAUCCACACUCAGUCCAGAGUUCAGUACACAAAGGCAAACUGAAUUUUUGCUUGAAGCAUUUCGGCUUCAACAGCGUGCAUCUGAAACUGCACAAAAGCUGAUGGCAUUACAAACUGAGGUUGGGAAGAGUUACUAUGGGGAUGAACUGGGCAGCGAGGCGAAACUCAGCAUGAGACGCUCUUUUGACUCCAUUAGAAACAACUUAAAAGAAGUUCAGAGAAACUUGGAAAUAUGGUUGGCCAGAAUUAUUGGAGAUCUUGAAGGGAUUCUGGCCAGGGAUGGCGUCUCCCGUGCUAAUGCGAGGGAAUAUUACGUUUCUAGAUAUCCUUUUGUUCAAUAAAAACUUCUCAGCAAUAUGAAGUCCUGAUCUAACCGAAAUAUAUUAAAAUCUCGUUUGGUAAAUAGGUUGAUCUUGUCUUGUAAGCCCUAAAGCAG
rnacentral:misc_RNA from 1 species